rnacentral:tRNA from 1 species
GCACCCGUAGCUCAACUGGAUAGAGCGUCUGACUACGGAUCAGGAGGUUAGGAGUUCGAAUCUUCUCGGGUGCGCCA